AACGAACGCUGGCGGCAUGCCUAACACAUGCAAGUCGAACGAUCCCUUCGGGGAUAGUGGCGCACGGGUGCGUAACGCGUGGGAACCUGCCCUUAGGUUCGGAAUAACUCAGAGAAAUUUGUGCUAAUACCGGAUAAUGUCUUCGGACCAAAGAUUUAUCGCCUUUGGAUGGGCCCGCGUUGGAUUAGCUAGUGGGUGGGGUAAAGGCCUACCAAGGCGACGAUCCAUAGCUGGUAUGAGAGGAUGAUCAGCCACACUGGGAGUGAGAAGCGGCCCAGACUCCUACGGGAGGGAGCAGUGGGGAAUAUUGGACAAUGGGCGAAAGCCUGAUGCAGCAAUGCCGGGUGAGUGAUGAAGGCCUUAGGGUUGUAAAGCUCUUUUACCCGGGAUGAUAAUGACGGUACCGGGAGAAUAAGCCCCGGCUAACUCCGUG
rnacentral:rRNA from 1 species